UUGGACAGUACUGCCCCCGGUAGGCCGAGAUCAUUGGAGGGCGCUGGAGCCAGGGGGCGGAGCGGGUUCCUCUGGAUUCUUGACCGAGCGCGCCGGUCUGCCGAGCCGGGCAGGGGGCGCGGGACCCGAGCUGCGCGGGCAGCCGCGGAGGGAGGGUGGCCGCGCCGACGAGGUCUCGGAGGAGCAGUGCAGGGCCAGGGCUGGUCCCCGGCCGCGUCUCUGGGGGACAGUCCGGGUUUUCCCCCUCAGCGGCGGCCGCUUCGAGACCGCAUCUGUCAACGCUCCUCUCCUCUGCUCCUCCUCCUCUUCCUCCGACCGGGCCGGGCUCCGCCGGCGGCGGCCGAGAAGACGUGGGACCCGGCGUGGCGAGCCCAUCAGCUGUCAGGCCAGCGGCGGAGCGGCCCGAGGGCGGCGAGAGACACACAAAGAACGCGGUGGGCGGCGGCGGCGGUGGCGCCGGCGAAAAGGGGGCAGCCAAAUUGGGGGAGGGCAACUCGUUGGCCGCGCCCGCGGCUGCUACCGCCGCCCGAGCGAGGUCCGAGGCCGCGGAGACAAUGCGGGCCGCGCUCGGCCUCCCCGCGCGCCUCGCAGUGCGGGGCGCCGCGCUCCGCCGGCCCCAACUUGACCGUGCCCCGGCUCGCCCAGCCCCCUCCCGGGGCAGAGGCGCCCCCUUCGCUCCAGCGGCCGGCGGAGGAAGUCGGUCGGCGGCCGCGGAGCCCGGCAACUUGCGAGCCGGGAAAAGUUUGCGGCGCCUCCGCGAGGCGGCGAGGCCCGCCCCUCGCGCCCGCAGUCAUCGCCGGUGACUUUCGCGAGGCGUCGUCCGCCGGGGCCGCGGCGGGGCCGCGCUCCGGCUGCGGUGUGUGCAACACCUGGACUGACUUCUCCUGACUUCUGAGUUAACCACACCUCAUCUCAAAAGGACUGUGGGUGGAGAAAAAAAGGCUUAUGGAAGCACUCUUGGAGACAAUGCUCUACCAUCUUCUCAAAGAAUUGUGGAUGUUUGAAAUGUUGCUUUCUUCCGGGAGAUGGGGAUUAUAUG
ensembl:lncRNA